AUUACAUCGUUUCUUAGUAUAAUUACUUUAUCUGUGGAAUAUUCCAAGUUUAAUUACAGUAUAUCCAAUAAUAUCGCAUACACCGUCAGUCUAAUUUCUGUUUUCGUAUUCAUGGUAAUUUUUCUUCUUCUAAGCUUAAUUCUGUUAUAUGCCGUGACUAAGG